CACGUUAGGCAAGCACUCUCCCAUGAGCUGUACCCUCCCCGCUGCAUUUCCCUUCAGACUGCGGACAAUGAACAUCUUCUCAUGAGCUGAUUGGCCAGUUGUCCAUCUUCUUCGGGAGAAUGUGCGUUCAAGCCCCAUAGCAUUUUUUAAAUGGGACUGUCUGUUUUGCUUGAGUUUUUAGAACUCUUUAUAUAUUCUGGACCCUUGUCAGAUACACGCUCCUCCUGUUUCGAGAGCUACCUUUGCACUCUCUUACACUGUCCUUUAAUGCGGGGAAGUUACCUCUUCGCUUCUUGGUUGCUGUGCUUUUGGUAUUGCAUCUAAUAAUCCAUUGCCGUGGAGGUCUAGCCCUGUGUCUGCCUCUAAGAACUUUCUGGCUUUGGCUCUUUGUGUUGGUGGCUGAGUUUCGAGUUGGGUUCUGUGCACGUGUGAGAGGGAACCAGGCUUCGCUCUUUGCACGUGGGGGUCCUGUUGUCAGAGAGCAUCGCCUGCUGGGCUGUUACUUCCAUAAUUACAAAAACGAGUGACAAAUAAGCCUGCUCUGGAGUUUAAACUGGAGUAGGCACUGCUGGGAAGGGGCCUCCCUUUGGGUCCAGAGGCUGCCCUGGCUCUCUUCUUCCUAUUCCUGGGGGGGCAGCAGAGCCCCGCCCCAGCCCCUUGUCCCCAGCAGCACACUCGCCUCCGUGGGCAGAUCACUGGCCAGGGCCUCGUGGUGGGUGUGGAGCCGGGGGCAGGCUUGCCUGGGUGCCGGUGCAGGAGCAGCCUCCCCGGCACAAAGGGCAUGGGGUGUCUGGAGCCUGGGUUGCAGUGAAGGCCACUGGCUCUGUGGGGCUGGCCCUGCCAUCAGAGGAACUCCUCUCUCCCAAGGAGAGGGCUGGGCAGGUGGGCUGGUGGAUGGGAGGCACCGCCCUUCCCUCUCAGCUCAGCCUUUUGGCCUGGAGGCUGGAUAGGGCUGGUCCCUAGGGUUUGGGCUCUCCCUGCCCCCACCUGCACCUGCUGCCCUUUGGCUCCAGUUCCCCCUCAUCCUUUCUCUCUCCCUCGCUCCAGUUCACCUGUGCUUGGCCGCACAGGCGGCCUCCUCAGACUGGUGCCUGGAACAGAGCUGGCGACUGCAUGACCUCUGCUGGCAGUGGCCUGUUCCCCUGGCGGCCUGGGGGCAGCCGAGCUGCGCCUGCACCCGCACCCACUAUCGGGUGAGGCGCAGCUCCCCAUCACAGUCGGGGACCACGGAGGAGGCUGGCUGAACCGAUGCUGCCCAGGCCCCGGCAGCUCCUGCAGUUUGUCAUGCCCUGGGUGGUGGACCCCCAAGCCUGGGAGAGCCUUUGCCCACCUGGGUGCCUGGAACAGAGCAGGCACUCCGUGAAUGCAAGUGAGGGAGAAAUGAUGGGGAAAGCGGCACCUCCGCACACUGUCCAGCCUCCUCCCCGCCCCCGUGGCCCGUCCCCAGAGGGGGCCUCCCAAACCAGCCCUGGUACGGGUCUCUGCCUGUCCUCCUCGGCCGCCGCACAGGUCUCACCCGCUCGGGCGGGCUGCCUGAUGCCCAGGAGCCCUGUCCUUCCCACCAGAGUCCCUUCCUGGUUGCCGCCUGCUGCCUGGUUCACAGGGCACCCCUUGUUCUGGAGUGGCAGGGACCAUCCAGCUGGCUGUCCGUGGCCUGGAAUACACGGUGAGGGAUGAAAGACAUCUCCAACUGAAGCCCCUCAUCAGGUCCCCGUUUCCUCAGGACCCCCCCACCCAGCGUAUGUGCCCGUCCCCUUCUGGAGGUCCAGAGGCCCAGGCAGAGGGUGGCAGCUAGCCUCUCCUGCCCCGGGCCUGUGAGCAAGUGGACAGGUCACUGCAGCCCCACACAGACGUCUUCCUGAUCCGGGGGCAGUGACUUGCUCAGGACCACGCAGGUCAGCGCUCAGGCCGGCCCCACCUAGAUCCCUGUGCUUUGGGGAACUCAUGCGAGGCCUGCAUAGUUAAGGGGCCGAGCUCCAAAGCCCGAGUGACGAGACUGCAGACCUUAGGGGGCCAUUGGGGUCCACCAGGAGUGCCGAGGCUCCUCCCAGGAUGGUGAGCCCCUGUCUUGGCAGGGCCCGCCGCUGGCUUCCAUCAUUCUGUGGGCUGUGUGAGGUGCAGGAGCAGAAGCUUUAGCUGGGGCUCAGGGGAGGGGAUCAGAAAUUCCGGGGCUGUUGGGCCACUGGAGCGGAAGAGCUCAUCCUGCCACGGGGAUCAAGGCUGCGCUGUGCCUGAG